rnacentral:misc_RNA from 1 species
GAAAUGCGAUAAGUAAUGUGAAUUGCAGAAUUCAGUGAAUCAUCGAAUCUUUGGACGCACCUUGCGCUCCUUGGUAUUCCUUGGAGCAUGCCUGUUUGAGUAUCAUGCAAUCUUCAAAGUAAAUCUUUUGUUAACUCAAUUGGUUUCUACUUUGGUAUUGGAGGUCUUUGCAGCUUCACACCUGCUCCUCUUUGUUCAUUAGCUGGAUCUCAGUGUUAUGCUUGGUUCCACUCGGCGUGAUAAGUUAUCUAUCGCUGAGGACACUGUAAAAGGUGGCCAAGGUAAAUGCAGAUGAACCGCUUCUAAUAGUCCAUUGACUUGGACAAUACUUUUAUGAUCUGAUCUCAAAUCAGGUAGGACUACCCGCUGAACUUAAGC